UACUCUCUUUUGAAUAUCUCUUUACUUGUAAUUUUUUUAUCAGUGUUUAAUUUUUUAAUGUUAUUAUUUUUUUAGGUACUUAUAUACCAUCUACUCCUAAUAUUUUAUUAGAAAGGUAUUUAACUUCACAACCUAAUUCAAAAGAUAUACCUUCCAUUACUGCCUUUGAAAAAAAUGGCCUAAAAAUAGUAUUUGAAUUUGAAAAGCCUCCUGAUAAUCCCCAAAUGAUUGUUAUAAAUCUGGUCGCCUCAAACUCUUCGUUAGCUCCAAUUAAUGACUUCCUAUUCCAGGCUGCAGUACCUAAGGUUUUUCAAUUACAACUGCUUCCACCUACUAAUAACAGCAUACCAGCCAAUAACAUGGGUAGUAUUCAACAAACGCUCAAAAUCUUAAAUCCAAGUAAUAGUCAAUUACGAAUGAAAUUAAGAAUAUCUUAUGUAUCAAAUGGGAAUGCCGUUCUAGAACAAGUAGAAGUAAACAAUAUUCCUCAAGCUGUUUACAUGUGAAGUGACUGAAAUAUUUCAAUUGUGAUGGUUGGAUAUAAAUUUCCUGGGCUGUAAAUUGUUGAAAUUUCAACAUUAUGCCAUUAAGACUGUUUUCAAGGAAAGAGAUUUUUAGUUUGGAAGUAAUGGCAGUUAGAAGAAGCAGUAUUUAGGAGCUUUUUAAAAUUAUAUUUUGCACUUAAUCAUUCCAUUGUUAACUAUAUAGUUGUACAGUAUAAUUUUUAAAUUAAAAUUCAUAUACAUAUAUAUUUAUAUUCAUUUAACUAAUGACUAUGUUUGGAAGAAAAAAAACUUUCAUACUCUUUCUAAAUUUUGUGAUACUGUUUUUCGUAACUUACAAUUAUGGCUGUCAAAAAUUAUAGAAUUUGAUAGUAAAAUAUUUUGUUAUUUUAAAUUUCUCUUUUAUUUCUUUGAAACUCUUGGUGUAUUGAACUAUAUUUGAUAUCUGAGUUAGUAUUUCUUACUUUUAUUUGAACAUAAUUAGUCUAAUAAAAAAAUUUUGUUAUUGUAAAUAUGUAUAUUUAAAGUAUUUGAUAUUAAGACUUAGCUUAUUUAUUAAUAAAUUGGAAUAAGGUUUUUUUAGAUGAUUUUUUUAAUAUACUAAUCAAAAUGUUGAGAUUGUCUCUAUGGUGCCAGAACUAUAAUUGGUACAUUCUGCCUUAUACAAGCAUAUUUUCCCUACAUUUUAGAAGCUAAUUAUUUGAUUUAAAAUUUACUUUUGUUUUCUUCAAAAGCCUUAUUUGAAAAAAUCAUAGUCCACAAAGAACUUUGCUUGUUUCAAAAAUGGGUGUGGGCAAAAGACUUUUUCUAUAUUACCUAACUUUAAUUGUGCAUCAGAGUUGGAAAAAUAGCCUUCUUCUACAUAAAGAUGUGAUCACUAUUUUUAAACUAGUUCUUCAGAUUUCCAAAUCAUCUUCACUGUUUAAUAUUAAAAGUGUACUUAUAAAGCAUAAAAUUUUUAAAACCAUAAAAAAAUCAAUUUAAAUAAAACAUCGAAUGACUCUAGUUUUGCUUACUUAUUGUCAAUAAUGUCUGAUGAAAAACUUCACCUGUUCUUAAAUCUGUCGAGUAUUUAAUACAGGAAAGACUUUAUAAUUAGAUCAUAAUUAACCUUUCAAUGUCAUGAUUUAUAUACAGUAAAAGUCUGCUAUGGAGACAAUUCAAAAUAACAAGCAGAAUUGUUGUUAUAAUAAACUUGUCUUUAUAAACAUAUUUAAUGUUGAAAUAACAGUAAAAAAAGCCAAAAGAUUGAAUAGACAUAUUUACUUCGUAUUCUUUUAUUUUGAACAGCUCAUUUGAUUUAAAAUACAUACCUGGAGUAGACUGCUUUUACCAAUAAAAACAACUGGACUUGUAGAUUUUGCAAUAAUGCAAGCAAAAAAAAAAAAAAAAUGAAAGGACGUAGGAUAGCUUUUGACAUUAUCAAUAAUACUGAAUGUUGAUUUAAAGCGUAAGCUGUCAAGAAGAGAAACAAGGAGUCAUUGUAGAUAUGUGAUCAACAAAAGGCUGAAAAAAAUUUUCUUGGCCCACAUAUGACUUAAUAAACAUAAAGGGUUAAAACUAAAAUUAUUUGCCGUUUCUAUAUUGAUACCAGAAUUAAAUGAAAAUAUCUUCCAUUUUAAUUUUUAUAUAAUAUUGCUCACUUUAAACAAUAGAAAAAUGUAUUGACUGCAAAAAAAGAAAUAAUAAUUGCUAUAGCCGGAAGUUAACUAUUUCCAGCUUGUUAUAAACAUAUAAUUUUUGUGUCUUUAAUAUUAGCAUUUUGACGAUGACUUGGAAACUUGUGGUAAUAGCAGACUUUUCAAAAUACACUGUUACAUCAAGCUUUUACUGUAUAUAUAUCACAAAAAAAUAUUAUCUCUGCAUUUACUUUUUUGAUUGUAGAAAAAAAUCUCUUUUACCCCAAUAUAUUUGUUAUUGAUUCUCAAAGUUUUUAAAAAUUUUUGCUAACCAAAAAAACCUUUAAAAAACUUCUUAACUUUUAUAUCUUAAAUCCAAUUCAAUUUAAAGAUUUUUCUUUAUUAAAACUGACAUUUGUUAGAAGUUUGCUAGUGUAGACAAAAAUUUUGCAUUAUUGGAUGAUUAGGAGGAAUCAUAAGUAAUAAAUGAGAUUACGACAUGAAUAUAUCAGAAGAGGAAGAUGAUGAAACAGAUAUAUUUUGGCAAUAUUUAAUAAUAAGACAUUUAUUAAAGCAUAGUUUUGCAAAAGGCAUUGAACAUUCUGAACUUAUUUAAAUUUUUAGAAAGUAAAUAACCAAAUUCAGAAAAAUAUUUGCAAUUUGCAGCAACUUACUUCAAAUGUAAGGAAAUCUUAUUUAAGUUAAUAAGUAGGUACUAUUUCUCUAUUUUCUAAAUUUAUGUUCUCUGAAUAACUUGCAUAAUAUUUUUGUUGAAAUGUUAACAUUUUAAAUAUCACAAAUUUGUCAAUGUCUUAAAGUUUGUGAUAUUGAAGUUUGACUGUAUAUAUAUUUAUAUAUACUAUAGUAUUGACUAAGAAUUGUUAAGCAUAUACAUUGAACUUUUUAAUAUAAAAUUUUAAAAAAUAAUUAUUAUUUUGUUUGAUUCAUAAUACUCUUUUACAGCAAAGUCGUCAAAAAUUCUAAAACUUAUGUCAAUUCAACACAGUUAAAAUUUAUAAGUUGAAUUUUUAAAUUCAAAUAUUUAUCUCCUUUUUAUAUCUUGUUCAGUUCUUCUAUUAAGUUUGCCCUCAUUCAGUGAGAGCAUAUCAUGUUAAUUUGGACAUUUUAUGCAUAAUUUUUGGUGGAUCUCUGCUUUAAACUGUUGGUUAGAAAAACCAAGCUUUCUUCCAAGCAUUUGAGAUAAAGAUGCAUAGUAUUUCUUGUGAUAAUUUUCCACUUGAGAAUCAGAAAGUAUAAAAUAAGAGUAGCUGAAUUCCAUUGGGCAUUAUGAGGAAAUGGUGAUUCUCCAUUUAGUUAUGGAGUAUCCAUCAAUUUUUUUUUUUCAGAAAUAGAAUGCUUCUUACAAUUCUUAUAGAUAAAAUGAUCUUGUUGACCAGGAUUUUGAAUUAUUAUUAUUUCACUUUUUGGCUUUUAAGACUGAUGCUAGAUAUUGUAUUACUUUAUCACUUUCUCCACAAAUUCAUAAUUGAGAGUUAAUUUGUAAGAAGAAAUCUAAUUUAAGACGUCUAGCAAGUGCUUUAGGAUUCUAACAAGAACAUGAUGCUGACAGCUAAUAUGUCAUGGCUGAUCAAAUCUUCUAAGGACAUUCACUUGUCCAGUAUUUACUGCUAUGUCUCGUGCAAUCUUUUUGACAUGCUUCUUUACAUCAAAUUAAUUCAUCAAGCUUUGCAGUGCAUUUAAAAUAUCUUUUGAUGAUCCACUUUCUGUUUUACUACACUUUUCAAUACUUUAAAUGUACUCUUUAGAUUAUUUUUAAAGAGAUUCUGCAAGCUCACCUAUAUAUGGUUAGCACUAUAAACACUAAACAACAUUGGUUCUCUGCAGAGAUUGCAAAAAGCUUUCUUUUUUUGCAAAAUAGAUUUCAUUUCUCACUUCGCAGCUUUACUAUACAUCCUAUUUAAUUUAGCUCACAAUACAUCUGUCACUGAUUGUUAUGUAACACAAAUUUUAUUUUUGUCUAGACUGGAGCACACUACAGCAGCUUUAUUACUUGUAAGAGAUAUCUUGUCCUGUUGAAAACAUUGUUUUCUUUUGUCAUUUUCUUCUGAUAAAGAUACUAUGAUGCUAAUAAAAGAUGUAAGAUUUUAGUACUGUUUACUUUUACUAGUGAUUUCGUGGUAGGAUUUCUAUUGGCCAAGGACAGAGAAGGUGUUUAAUUCAGAUUGUGAAGUUUGUUUCAACACUCGCUUAGAGGGAGGGCAACAAUUAUGCAAAAACUGUGUUUGUUACAUAUGAAUACUUUAUUUGAAUAAUUGGACAGUUCAACUUAUUAAAAAAUAGUGUUAGCCUCACUUUCUUGUUCAUACAAUUCAUUUCUAUCUUAUUUUGUAACUAGUACACCUACAGCUUAUUUCCCCUGCUCAAAUUAUGGCACCAUAUGUCAAAGCAGCCAAAAUGAGAAAAACAAGAAACGCAUUAGAUUUUAAGGCUCAGUAUCUUAGAAUAAACAAAGAUUGAACUGGUCUGCUAUUUAAUAAAACCUUUGUAGUCGAUUUUCAUUUGUAACUUAUCUAGUUCUUUUCCUUCUUGGCAAAACCAAUUUUGGUCUGUUUUCUUUAUGUCAAAUAUAUUUUCUAUUUCAAUUUGAAAUGUCUUCUUUUAUCGAAUUUUGGUUCUUGUAUUAGAAAUCACUAAUCACACCGCCAAGAAUCUUCCAUGCUUCUAAGUGCCUCAUAGGACAAAUUAUGGAGAAUUUUAUCACUGAAUCAUUACUUGUAUCAUUUAAAAUAAUGUUUUAGCAACACAUUUCAGACACUUUGUGAUGAGCAAUAGUAAACAAAUUUACUUUUUAGUUACCACAGGUUUUAGCACACUAAAACAAAAACAAAUUGUUAUGAAAAGUUUUUCAAAACCACCUGCAAUAAUAAGUUUUCACUGAUCCUGACACUAAAGAUCGUCAAUUUGGACCAGAGGAAAUAAAAAAAAAAUUUUAGUCAUCCCUAGCAUAUAUAGAGAGAGUUAUUUUCAUGUAUGUUACUGCAUCUAUUUAUCAAUCAUAAUGUAACUUGUUUUUAGAUUGCUUCAUGGGUAAUAAAGGCUAGUGACCAUAUUUUUUGCAGUUUAUAACACUAUUGUUUGUUUUGUUACCUUGAGUAUGCAAUGUUCAAAUUUGCGAUCCAAUUUAUUUACCUUUUUGUACUGUAAAAUUUUACAUUCAAGCCAAUAAUUUAUCAAAUUUGCUUUGCUCUAUACUUUUUGAAUUUUUUAAUUUUGAACGAUUGUGUAUUAAUUAGGUGUUAUACCGCAUGAAAUAGUAUGCACCCAGUGCACACAUUCAUUCAUCUCAAUUACUAUAGAUCAAAACUUAUUUGUAGCACUUUUUUCUUCUGUCAUAUUAUUUUAUUUUUGUUUUAAUUAAGCCUUGCAAAAUUACGUAAAACUCCUCUUUUUAAUGUAAGUUAACUUACAACAUUUUUGCCAGUGUAAACUAACAUUUUUUUCACAAAAUUUUGGGAUCAUAAUUAGUUUUAGAAAAAUAUUUAUUUUUUAAAUAUUGUAAUAUGUAUCGUUCACAAGCUUUAAGAGUAUUAAAUAAUUUUAAAAUAUCUAUUAUAAAGUUUUAAAAAAAAAUCUUGACCAGAUAUAUGUAAUAUGAUCAAUAUUUUAUUGUAAGCUAGACAAUGAAAGUUUUGAGCAAAAACUGUUGUAGAUCAUUUAAGAUUUCUCCAGAUUUUUUUUAUAUUAAAAAUGCUUUGAAUACAAAACAAGUACUACUUCAAUUUUAUUUUUUCUAUAAGUACAUUCUUUAGACAUUAUUUUUUGAAGAAAUAUAGCUGAAUCCUACUAGAUAGGCUUUCCCCCCUCAAAAUUGAUUGUUUCAAAACCAGUUAAGUCGCACAUUUCUUUUUCUUUUUUUGAUUAAAAAUUAAAAUCCUUUUAAUGAUAGAAACUAGCUUAAUAUAAUUAUUUUUCCAAAAGCAUUUAUUCAAAUGCCUUAAUAAGAAAUGAGUUUCUUUCUCGUGUAAAGUCUAUGGAAAUAAGCAAGUCAGUUUUGAAAUCAAUGAUUUUUUCUUUUUUUUUUGUAUAAAUUUAACACUUUAUUUCUACAUUUCCCUUUUACUCAAGUUUCAUUAUAUUUCUAUUUCUGAUGUACUCUUCGUUUCUGUAAAUAUAAAUUAGAAUGUGUGAUUGGUUUAUACCAAAAGAUGAAAGACUAUGCCAUACUUGCCUUAAGUAGAAGUUCUUUUUGUGUCUUUAUAUAAUUCUGUAUGUCUGUUUUAAAUAGAUGUCUUGUGUAUUCUAUUUCUCUUUAUCUUUAAUGCAAAGUAUGUUUUGGUGUAUUUUCUGUUUGUUUCAUCUUAAAAUUUUUUAAUUUGUUAAAACACCUCUCUUUAUUAUACUUUUGUUUAAAAUAGUGAAAGUAUUAUUAUACAAUGGAUCAUAGCUUUCAAAAUCUUUUUUAUAUGUAUCUCAAAAGCCUAAGAGUAAAUAAUUCUCCAUAAAAAUGUUUGUAAAAACUAGUAAAUUAAAUCAUAUUUUUCCAUUAAAGGUACUUGUAUAAGGCCAUUUGUGUAUAAAAGUAUUAAAUAAAGACUAUUAUUUAGUACUA